CAGUGGGGAAUAUUGCACAAUGGGGGAAACCCUGAUGCAGCGACGCCGCGUGAGCGAUGAAGUAUUUCGGUAUGUAAAGCUCUAUCAGCAGGGAAGAAAAUGACGGUACCUGACUAAGAAGCCCCGGCUAACUACGUGCC
rnacentral:rRNA from 1 species